UUAUGGCCAUAUCACAUUGAAACACCAUUUCCCAUAAAAUCACUGAAGUUAAGCAAUGUCAAGCCAGGCUAGCUCUUAGAUGAGUAACCACUUGGGUAUACUAGGUGCUAUA